ACCAUAACCCCGGCUAGCGAGCGGGUCUCUGUCUGCCUGAGUGUAAUAACGUCACGGGUGGACUGUUAGUGCAUGGACGUAAUGCCUUGGCGAAUACACUGCAGCGUUCGUUUAGCCUCAUUUCGAGGCAUCCCUUGCCUGUAACACCUGUGUAUUCAAGAAAGCUAUUUGAACGCAUCCCAUGUUACAUUCACAGCGGUGUGAACGUAUGCGCGCACCUUCUCUAUGGUAACUGCAUUGAACAGAAGGGCCAAAAAGCAAAAAAGACUAGUAUGGUUAGAAAUAACCAUACGGGUGGUACAACGUUUGCGCACAAGAUGUACGUGCGCGUUUAAAGACUCCUCGGCACAGUUAGUAGUCCAAUUCCCAGGCCAAUGAUUCUGACUUAAGCCACGUGGGAGAGACAUAAUGAUCGUGGGUGGUUGCUACAGUCACACAAGUAAAACAGGGUCACUGGAAGACUACAACAGCGACUACUGGUACCACAUCAUCGUGGCAAACUCUCACAACAGCUUAAUCUCAGUGACUCUACAUAACAGGACGCGCAAAAACGACUUGAGCAAGCGGAAGUUCAAACCAACCGUGUUAGACAGCAGCUCUAGCACUACAGAUGCCGUGUUGCACCAAAUAUCUAUCAACCACAGGAAAAUAUUCAAUUCAACUGACGUACAUCAUGCCAUCUAGAAAAAUCCCAUGAUACAAGCUGUUAACACACGAAUAAUUCUUUUACGUGGUAUGGUGAAGCACGCGCGCCACAAUCGGUGGGCAAUAGACGGUAUUCACGGCGUCCCCGAUUUCAGUAAUAUUCCUGAACGUACAUGUACAUUGUAAAUUUUUAACCCGUAAUGGGAUGAUACCAGGUUAUUUUGGGGUUCGCAUUGAAAUCGUAGAAUAUAGUCUGGUUCUUGGAAUUUAACAUUUUCCAAUAAAAUACACUACGUUGGGGAAUAUGACUGAAAUGUGGACGCCGUGAAUACGGUCUAUAUAUUAGAGCGCCCUCCACAGGCAAGAACCAAGGCUCCACAUGAGGGCGCCAUGCAUGGUAUUAUUUCUCUUUACCUGAGAAGUUUGAGAAAUACAGGUAGUAAUGAAGUCAAAUUGUAACCUAAUUUCCAUAUCUUCUUUCAUUCCAUUAGCAACUUCAUACAAAUGAUGAAAUAAAAGACAAUUUUCACCUCCUUAAAUGCUGUAAUAAACGAAGCCACGUUAUGUCAUCUCGAGAAAUCCCGUCACAAAUCGGUAACACACAACAAAUUCCUAAGUGUGAAAUGGUGCAGCAAGCACGUCGCAAUCAGUGGGCAAUGUAUUUAUACCACCCUCGACAACAAAUAACCAAGUUUUUGGCGAGGGUGUCAUGCUUGCUAAUAAAUUAUUCCUCUACAUCCGAGAAAAUUGAGAAACACUGGGAGCAGCAAAGUCAAAAUUGAAAACUAUUUUCUGUGUCUUUUGAUUUCAUUUGCAAACUACAACGCGAAUAAGAGAGAGCGAUUUCCGAUUUCUUGAGACAGGUUUAAUAAAUAAAGUCUCAAGUUGCAAUUGUCGUGUCAUUCUUUCAUUUCUCUAAAGGUUCGGAGUUGUUUUUUUCCAGCUAUCCACUGUACUGGGCGAGUUUCAUAAACUGAACGUCAUGGACGUCGCAAGUUGGGGGGGGGGAGGUUAAGCCCUUUUUCACGGAUUGGAGCAGCUCCAGUAGUCUGCGAAUUCACCUUCAAUGUUGAGUCUCCUCCUUUAACGAUGCAAUACUGAAAAUUUGUCGAAUAAACAUAACCUUGUCGAGAUAUGGUUUUUCCAAAUUAGUUUUUCCAAGAAAUAUUUGUUUCAGUAGAUUUUUUUCUGCAUCGGGUCAAGUGCACCGUGCAAAGUCAUGCUAUUGGAACUCCGUCUUUAAUUUAAUCUAGGUCCAAGUUAUUAUGAAAUCCUAGCUUUCCUAUCAACUGAAAACACUAAUAUCAGCUGUAUCGUAAGCUUCCCUAGCUGCAAAUGUUUCGGCGAAAGGAAUUUUAUGACAUUUUGGAUGUAGUCCAGUUCAUUGAACUCUGAGUCUGAUCAGCACCAGUAGAAUUACAUCUCGUAAAAACAAAGUUGGAAAAGCAUAAUCUUUUAAAAACAAACUUUGAAAAAAAUGUAAACAAACUUGGAAAUAUAUACAUUGCUGAAACCUCAACAGAACCACUUUUGUGAGAAAUCAUUGGUGGAACCAGUUUUGUGGUUGUGGCAAAUGACGCUCAUUUCAUCCACUCAUGAAUAAUCUUCAUUAAUAUGUGUCAGGGGAUAUGCAGGUAAUUGGCAUUUGGAGGAAGCUGGUUCACGGUAUUUAAUGCAUGCACAAAAUUAUCCGGGAACUGAAGGAAUGUCAUUUAAAAAAAAACAAACUAAUAUGCUCUUUUUAUUUACGUGAUUGAUAUACCAUGUCAGAAAAACUGAAUGAAUUUGAAAUUCGCUGUUGUCAUUUUAAAUUUUGAGCAUUGCCGUAUUCAUAACUAUCGUAAUCAUAUUGAAUUUCAAGUGGUUUCCAAACAAAAAUGUAUGAGAACAUCUUUAGCAAUGCCUGUUUUUUCUUUAGAUAUUUUUAAUUCUCCCAAAUAAUGCCAAAAUGACUUGGUACCUUUAGGGAUAUCCCUUGACUUGUAACAAAGGGAACCAAUUCUUUCCCCAUAUCCUUUGUUUAAAAAUGUGUUAAUUGUUGAAAAAAGGUCCAACAUUCUGACUGCUACCAUGCACCGAUGCAGAAAGGAAAAAUUGCUUUUAUUACCAUGUUAGAUCAAGAGACAAUUGUCAGAAAGCGAGUAAUAUGCACAAUAUACGUGCUUUUAGCAUUUAAGAUACAAUGAGAAAAUAAUUUAAGACUAACUUCUUAAAGACGGGUAUUCAGCUUACUGUACCGAAUUCACUAAAACAUUUGGUCGUCUGAAAACAACAUACGAAUAGCAGAAACAGCAAAUACACAAUACGGGCCGCAUAUAUACAGGCAGGUUGACCCUUCUGGAUUACAAACAUGGAUUCUCAAGACUAAAUGUGCUCUUCCCAUCGUUCAUUGCAUUACACUUGAUUUUCUUAUUUAUGUGCGUCUUCACUAAACUGCUGAGCCUUACGGGCUUUAAUCAUGUUUAAAUUCACCUAUACUCCUAUCCACUGAAACACUGAUAAUAAUGAUAACUUGAUUUUGUUCCGUCUAUAAUCCCUCAGGUCCAUCUAUUUUCCCUAAACUACAUGCAUUUGGUACCCAAAGAAAUAAAAGAGCUAGAAGUGAGGUAAUAAAAUAAAAAAAC